GGCAGGAGCAGCGCAGUGGAUAAGAUGUUGGACUACUGAUCAGAAGGUCAUGAGUUCAAAUCCCAGCAUGCCA